rnacentral:rRNA from 1 species
CGUGUAGGCGGUUAUGUAAGUCAGAUGUGAAAGUCUUCCGCUUAACGGAAGAAGUGCACUUGAAACUACAUGACUGGAGUACGGGAGAGGAGAGUGGAAUUCCCGGUGUAGAGGUGAAAUUCGUAGAUAUCGGGAGGAACACCAGUGGCGAAGGCGGCUCUCUGGCCUGAUACUGACGCUGAGACGCGAAAGCGUGGGGAGCAAACAGGAUUAGAUACCCUGGUAGUCCACGCCGUAAACGAUGGGCACUAGGUGUAGGAGGUAUUGACCCCUUCUGUGCCGAAGCUAACGCAUUAAGUGCCCCGCCUGGGGAGUACGGCCGCAAGGUUAAA